GCUGCCAGGGAGCACGGAGGUGAGGCUGGAGAAACAGUUUGGAGAAUUUUCUAUAUAUAAGAACCUGCAAAGGACCUCGUGAAACAGGUUUUUGCUUCACAUCACCACCUGUCCUGUGGUCAUGUCACUUUCAAGGUGGUAUCUCAGGCUUUCACAACUUGGUAGAUCAUCUGUCGUCCUUGGCUACACGCUAACAGUAUAUUUCAAGAAUAUGACAAGCCACCUAAUCGCAAGUUUACAAGAGAAGGUGAUAGCGUUACAAAAAGAAAACGAGAGUUUUAGGAAAUGGAAAGAGAUCAAGUUAGAAAAUCUCAAGUCAUUUUGGGAAGGGAACAGGGAUAUGAUCACAGCCUUCCAAGACAAUAACAAGGCUGCCUGGAAAAAGAACAUGACUCUCUGGAAAAAAACCAUGACCUUUUGGAACAAUGUCAGCAUGCUACUAAUGCGUGAAGAGGAAAUCUGGGGAGAAUACCUAGCCCAAUGGAAAGCAGAGCUAGACCUUUGGAAGAGGGAACUGGACCUUUGGGAAGAAGAACUAGAAUUCCCUGGAAAGUAAAAACAUUCACAGAAGAAAACACAACAACUGUACUGGCCAGAAAUCAAAGAUGAGGCAUUCACAUGCUUAGAAUGAUUUCUGCCUUCUUACACUAAUAAAGCCUUGACUGUUCUUUGAAA